AGCAGUAGCCGCGGUAAUACGUAGGGUGCGAGCGUUAAUCGGAAUUACUGGGCGUAAAGCGUGCGCAGGCGGUUUUGUAAGACAGAGGUGAAAUCCCCGGGCUCAACCUGGGAACUGCCUUUGUGACUGCAAGGCUAGAGUACGGCAGAGGGGGAUGGAAUUCCGCGUGUAGCAGUGAAAUGCGUAGAUAUGCGGAGGAACACCGAUGGCGAAGGCAAUCCCCUGGGCCUGUACUGACGCUCAUGCACGAAAGCGUGGGGAGCAAACAGGAUUAGAUACCCCGGUAGUCCCUGUCUCUUAUAC
rnacentral:rRNA from 1 species